rnacentral:lncRNA from 1 species
UUGACCACACUCUCUGAGGCACCGUCAAGUUCGACUGAAGGGGACGCCAUCACAAGAAUGUCACUCUUAGAGCAACCCCAAUUAGAUCGAGAUCUCUUCGAAUCUGUCAUGCCGACCAUCGAUCUGAAAAUGCAUUGGAAGAAUAAGCCCAAGGAGAUUGCCAACCAUAGAUUUAAACAACUCAUGCAUGUAAGUAUUUAAUUCUUUUCUUCUCUUCUCUCUCUCUCUCUCUUCUUUUUUACUUCGAUGUAUGAUUGAUUUGAAUUUUUUAUUCUGCAGGUCGCUGUAGAUUUUAAAGUCAUGUAUGAGAACAUGAUCUACCUA